UUCUGUUGUGGAUGCUAAUUU
rnacentral:piRNA from 1 species